rnacentral:rRNA from 1 species
AGUGAACGCUGGCGGCGUGCCUAAUACAUGCAAGUCGAACGGAGUGGCGCACGGGUGAGUAAUAUAUAGCUAACUCCCCCAUUACUAAGGGACAACAGUUGGAAACGCCUGCUAAUACCCUAUAGUAUUGUAUAGGGCUAUAUCGUAUCAGCUAGUUGGUAAGGUUACGGCUUACCAAGGCUAUGACGAGUAACUGGUCUGAGAGGAUAAUCAGUCGCACUGGAACUGAGGCACCGUUCGGGAAUCUACGGGAAUGAGCGGUAGGGUGAAUUGGUCAAUGGGGGAGAGCCAGAAGCGGCAACGCCGCGUGAAGGAUGAUAGUUUGCGAAGAAUAAACUCGUUUUCUUGGGAAAGCGGUACCCAAAGAAUAAGCACCGGCUAACUCCGUGCCAGCAGCCGCGGUAAUAC